GGAUAUAUCACAUCCUUUAUCGCCCACAAGCCUCUGGAAAGAUCGAGAGUUAUAGUGGACUACUGAAGACAAUGUUAAUGGUGUUAAGGUAACAGGGCAUGGAAGUAUUGGGAUGCAAAUUUAGCAGAAGCCUAAGCUGGUUAACAAGAGCAGGUCUGCUAACCACCUGGUCCUGCCCAAAUAAAACCCCUCCACAAGGGAGGAGAUAAGGUCCCCUCACUACAUGUAAAGAAGUGGCUGAGGAAGUCAGUAUGGAUUUCUCUUUCUGUGGGACCAAAUUCAUGGGAUUGUCUUUGCCCAAGGACCAGGGGUAUUUGUUGGGUGGUGUGGAAGAAUGGGGAGACCUGGUGUAUGACUCAAGGAAAUUUAACCUUGGUGGGAAAAUAAUCUGUGGUGUAAAUUGUAUGUUGCAGGAAGUAAAGUAGCAGGAAUGACUAGAACUGAUGAAGAAUGAAUUUUGUGAGGGGCAAGGAGGAUGCAAGGAUGACUCAAGCUGGGCUGGUGUUGGUGCCCAAUGAUCAAGUACGCCAAUUCUCCUGUCUUGACCACCCAUGCUGAUGGAAUCCAAGUCAUGGAUCUGGAGGGAUGGAGGAAGCCCGUGAAAAGGGAAAGUAAAAUCAGUCUGUGAAAGGACGGGGGAUAGUAGUUAAUGAAAGUGUAUAUUGGGUAUAGAGAUGGUUUAAGGAUGUAGUUUAAGUUGUAUGUGUGGGUAAGAAGGGAUUCCAGUAAUGAGAAAUAGAAUGGAACAGUUGGAAGAUAUAUAAAUUAUGUGGGAUCUGAGUAGGACAUAAAUGGUAUGGAGUAAGGGGUAUUGGGGGUGACAGAGAUAGAGUUCAUUUUCCCUUAGCAGCCCUCACAGUGCUGUGCUUUGUGCAUUGGUAGCUGGAAAGGCACUGGUAACACAUCAGUGUUUUUGCUACUGCUGAGCAGCACUGGCACAGCAUCAGCACUGUCUCUUUAACAUUCUCUCCCAUACCUCUGAUCAAGGGGCUGGGAGUGGGCAAGAUCCUGGGAGGGGACACAACUAGGCCAGAAUGGCUGACCCAAAUAAACCAAAGGGAUAUUCCAUACCACAUGACAUCAGCUCAGAUAUAAAAGCUAAGGGAGAGAGGAGGAAUGGGGGACAUUCAUUUAUUUUACCAUGUUUGCCUUCUGGAGUGACUGCUCCAGAAGCGUGUGCUGAAAUCCUGCUUUCUGGCACGUGGCUGAAUAUUGCUCACUGAUGAGAAGUUGUGGCAUUUAAGUAAAACCUUAUAAAAUGAAGGCCUUGUUGCCUUUGUAAAAUUAUAGCUCAGGCCUGCUUCUUUUCAGUAGAAGGACUGUGAGAAAAGUCUGUGAGGAGAAAAACAAUUAGUUUUUACCCAUGAGAACGUAGUAUCAAGAGAAGCAAGAAAACUAAACAGUAGAAGGAGAAAACCAGCAACAUAUCUGCACCUGUUAUUUUUCUGAAUGCUUGAAUGCUUAUGCUAUAGGUAGCCAGUGGUAGUAUAUUGAAGUUAAUAAUAGCCAAUGAGUCUAUUGUAGUAGUUUAGCAGCCAAUGAAUCUGUGACACGAAUGAUAACAUACAAAAGGUGUAUAAAAGAGGCUGCUUUGUUUAAGAAACGGCUUUUUGGCCCUUGAAAGAGGUCGUGACCGCCCCAACAGCGACAUCUGGUGCCCUGUGUAAGGAACUGCAAGAUAAUUGACCGCCGGGAGAGAGCGGAGGGGGCAGAGCCCUGUAGCCAGAGGAGCACCCGGGAGAGGUGCCAAAAGUCGUGGGAUGACAAAAUAUUAAAGGGUGAUGAGACUGGUAAAUCUUUGCUGCCUACCUGAAGGGUGGUGCUGGAGACCUUAAAAGUGGUGAAAAAGGAGCUGGACUUAGAACUGCAAACCUCUGUGGAUGCGGGGGUGAGGGCGCAGGCGGGUAAAACUGGUGAAGAGCCGCAUGACGGAGCGCCGACCGAGCCCGCUUGUGAGCCUUGUGUUGAACCACCUGGCUGUGUGCCACCUACAGGCCCUAGGACAGACUGCCCUACGUCCCCCAUUCCCGUGAAACCACUUUAUCCACACUUGCCUGCAGUUGUAGAGGCCGAAGGAGAGGCAACAAGAUGCAAGGGAGACCAGAAGUACCUCAAGGCUGAGGCAUCAUUCCUGCCAGAUGACCAGGAGCCACAGAUGCUGAUGCUCUCAAAGGAGCAAGGGAGGAUGUGAAAGCUUUGUCACAGAGAGCCAAAAGACUGAGAACCUGGAAAGAAAACAACUUCUCUGACUGGAAAUUACACAUAUGACUGUGAGAAACAUCAGGGCCUACAACAUAAGCCUAUCCCACAGAUUAGAGACAGAGACUCAUUGGUAAGCUUGGGCUGUCCCUCAGCCUUUUUGUGCCUUGCAGCAGGAUGGCGAGAAUUGUAGAUGUCUGACACAGCCUAUGAACUUCCCUGGCAAAGAAUAUUUCUGCAUGAGUAAUCCAAUAAACUAUUAAAAGAGGAAUAAACUAGACUUGCUUGAAA